CAUGCAAGUCGAACGGCAGCACGGACUCGGUCUGGUGGCGAGUGGCGAACGGGUGAGUAAUAUAUCGGAACAUACCCAGUAGUGGGGGAUAACUAUCCGAAAGGAUAGCUAAUACCGCAUACGAUCUGUGGAUGAAAGCAGGGGAUCUUCGGACCUUGUGCUAUUGGAAUGGCCGAUAUCUGAUUAGCUAGUUGGUAGGGUAGAAGCCUACCAAGGCGACGAUCAGUAGCUGGUCUGAGAGGACGACCAGCCACACUGGAACUGAGACACGGUCCAGACUCCUACGGGAGGCAGCAGUGGGGAAUUUUGGACAAUGGGGGCAACCCUGAUCCAGCAAUGCCGCGUGAGUGAAGAAGGCCCUCGGGUUGUAAAGCUCUUUUGUCAGGGAAGAAACGGAGUUCUCUAAUAUAGGAUUCUAAUGACGGUACCUGAAGAAUAAGCACCGGCUAACUACGUGCCAGCAGCCGCGGUAAUACGUAGGGUGCAAGCGUUAAUCGGAAUUACUGGGCGUAAAGCGUGCGCAGGCGGUUUUGUAAGUCUGAUGUGAAAUCCCCGGGCUCAACCUGGGAACUGCAUUGGAGACUGCAAGGCUAGAGUGUGUCAGAGGGGGGUAGAAUUCC
rnacentral:rRNA from 1 species